UCCUUCUUAUCGAAGGCAGUUCCCUAAGAGUGCAUCCCUUGCGGGAUUAGCAACAUAGGAUGGGGGUUGCGCUCGUUGCGGGACUUAACCCAACAUCUCACGACACGAGCUGACGACAACCAUGCAGCACCUCUGCUCGCUCCCUUGCGGGUCAGCCAAUGUUUCCACCGGCUUACCACGAGUAGUUCAAGCCCAGGUAAGGUUCUUCGCGUUGCGUCGAAUUAAACCACAUGCUCCACCGCUUGUGCGGGCCCCCGUCAAUUCCUUUGAGUUUCAACCUUGCGGCCGUACUCCCCAGGCGGCUCAUUUAAUGCGUUAGCGUCGACGCGGAAGGGGUCGAUACCCCCCACAUCUAAUGAGCAUCGUUUAGGGCUAGGACUAC
rnacentral:misc_RNA from 1 species